AUUGAAGAGGCUUGCUCUUAUGAAGUUAGCGGCGGACGGGUGAGUAACACGUGGGUAACCUGCCCAUAAGACUGGGAUAACUCCGGGAAACCGGGGCUAAUACCGGAUAACAUUUUGAACUGCAUGGUUCGAAAUUGAAAGGCGGCUUCGGCUGUCACUUAUGGAUGGACCCGCGUCGCAUUAGCUAGUUGGUGAGGUAACGGCUCACCAAGGCAACGAUGCGUAGCCGACCUGAGAGGGUGAUCGGCCACACUGGGACUGAGACACGGCCCAGACUCCUACGGGAGGCAGCAGUAGGGAAUCUUCCGCAAUGGACGAAAGUCUGACGGAGCAACGCCGCGUGAGUGAUGAAGGCUUUCGGGUCGUAAAACUCUGUUGUUAGGGAAGAACAAGUGCUAGUUGAAUAAGCUGGCACCUUGACGGUACCUAACCAGAAAGCCACGGCUAACUACGUGCCAGCAGCCGCGGUAAUACGUAGGUGGCAAGCGUUAUCCGGAAUUAUUGGGCGUAAAGCGCGCGCAGGUGGUUUCUUAAGUCUGAUGUGAAAGCCCACGGCUCAACCGUGGAGGGUCAUUGGAAACUGGGAGACUUGAGUGCAGAAGAGGAAAGUGGAAUUCCAUGUGUAGCGGUGAAAUGCGUAGAGAUAUGGAGGAACACCAGUGGCGAAGGCGACUUUCUGGUCUGUAACUGACACUGAGGCGCGAAAGCGUGGGGAGCAACAGGAUAG
rnacentral:rRNA from 1 species